ensembl:antisense predicted gene 15990
AGCUCACUACCAAAAUCUGCUCUGGGCCAUCUCAGUAAGAUUGAAGUCUUGGGAAGUUCAGACAUUUUUCUCAAGUUUCCAGUGAUGGCAAAUGGCAGAGGCAAUGGGCUCACAAGGAGGUCUGGGGCCACCGCCGCCGCCCACUUGAAGAGCAGACAGCUGGGAAAGCUGGCUACAUGAGUCAGCCUAAGGGAAGGGAUCUGGGUUCCGGGUUGCUUGGAACUGAUGACAGCAGUGAACGGGGACAAGUUGGAGUACGUGAGAUGCUGGGGCUGCUGGAGGCGCUGCACCUGGGGCCGACACCUGGUCCUCUGGAACAGACAGACUCUCUCUAGAGUGCUUUAGCUCUGCCAUUCACUGCCUGAUACUUCUUUUAGAGGGAUAACACCCUUUAUGUAGCUAUGCAGCAGGAAGAGUUAGGACUUCGGGUUCUCCUGCUUAUUUUAACUCAGUAAGCGGUUAAUCAAAAUAAUGGUUUAUAUUUGCAGAGGGACUUUGAAGCUCUCUUACAGUAAUCAUAUACCAGCGUUAACUGUCACCUUCCUAAGCAGGACUGAUGUAUUGAUUGUGGUGUCACUAUAACCCCAGGUGGGACUUUAUUACUUCUGUGUUAGAGAUGUAGAGAUUUAAGUGCAUAUAACCAGUGUAUGGGGAGUCCAGACUCAGGUCAGAGACCUGGUGAAAUAUUCUACAUGCUUUCCCCACAUUGCACCUGGGACGUAGACUUGACUCUCAUUGUUUCUUGUUUGAAAGUAGGUCGCUCUAUAUUCUCUAGGCUAGCCUCUAAUUCCUGGGUUCUCAGGGCAUCCCUCUGCCUCAGCCUCCCCAGGAGAUGCCUUGAACUUGACCUUUAAUGCUGCGAUGGUGUAAUAGUUUUUUUCGUUGCUGUGGCAGAAAUGACUGACAUAAUCUGUGUCAGCACCGAAGGGCUUAUUUUGAUUCACAGCAUGGGAGGUCAUGGUGGGGGGAGCUUGACACAGCUGGUUAUGGUGCAUCCACAGUUAGGAAGCAGAGAGAGAUGGGUUCUAGUGCUCAGUUUGCUUCCUCCUGUUUAUCUAGUCUGAAACCCCAACCUAAGGCACGGUGCUGCUCACAUUCAGGGGGAGUCUCUUCUCUUGGGGUUAACCUUUCUGGAAACCACCCUCAUAGAUACAUCCAGACCUAGAUUUUCCAUGGUGAUUCUAAAUUCUUUCAAAUGGAGAUAUAUUACACCAUUCCUUUCAAUUAAUUCAAGCUAUAGAAACUCAACAAAGAAGAGUAAUACAGAGUGCCCUUUUCUGUUCGUUUUGAGAAAAUGUCCCACUACAUAGCCCAACUAGGUAUGUAGUAGGCUAAACUAUGUAGCUCAGCUUAGUCUCUAACUUAUAGCAAUCGUCCUGCCUUAAUAUCCCUGGUAUGGGGAUUACAGGUUGGAGCCCUCAUAUUUGGAACAAUGAGGCCUUUGUGUGAAGUUACCUGUGAGAAAUAGCAAACUCUUUGCACCUACAUAUUUGUCUGAAUUUUAGGGGCUCGGACAUCUGCUAAGACACUGCCUGUAUAAUGGUAAGAACACCCCACUUGAGAAGUUGGACAGUCUCUAGUGUUCUUAUUGCUACAAAGUUGCUCCUUCAACAAGCCUGACCCUGACUUUUUCUCCUGCCUUGCUCACCAGAUGAAUGUAGAAACCACAGGUCUAAGCUUCCUUAUCCAUGCUUCAUGUUUUGAAAAUGCUGCUUACAGCAUCUCUGGUCCUCCAGGACUAGAUAGCACAUUCCUUUGUUAGUUAUUCUUCACUCACCGGUAUGUCAGUGUCUUCCUUGAACUCCCAGAAUUAGAGCACAAUCAAGAACUGAACACACGCUUCUAGCUGUAGCCUCUUCCUUUGUUCUGGAUAUCAUAGAUCCAGGCCUAUAUCCCCAGAGUCUCUUCUAGUUUAAAACCUUAUGGUAUUUUGAAAUCUAAUACACCUAUGGGAAAGGACACACAACACAACAGACAAUUCUGUGAAUAGACACAAAGCAAACAUCCCUGUAGCCAUUCUUGACCACCAGGUCAAGAACGUUGCCCACUUAAACCUCAGCUCAGCAAACACUGGUCCUGAAGAUAACUUCUAUUCUAACUUGUUUGUUUUGCGGUGCUGGAGAUGAUCUGGGGAGUUGUGUAUGUCAUGAAAGUAUUCAACUACUAAGAUCCAGACCUGCCCUUCUAAAUCCUAACUCUUUUAUCACCUAAAAUUAUCCCAGUUAACUAUAGGAACCUAAAAAACCAUAGUUUUCCUUGGGGCUUUCAACUUCAUGUGAAUGAAAUGAUCAAAAUCAGAACCCCUAAGUAUCUGACUUGGUUUCCUCGACAGUGUGAGAUUCACUUAUACUGUACAAGUAAGUAGUUUAGUUUUCUUGUAUUCCUGAAACCUUUAGCUUGCAUGAAUACACUGUAAUUUUGUCUACUGUUAACAGAUACAUGAGUUUUGGAAGUUAAAAUCAAAACUACUAUGACAGCCACUUUGUGUUGUUGUAUGUGAUGCAUAUAGAGCCAGCUACACCAAAAGAACUUCUCCGUCUUCAACUUCGAAGCAAUAGGUUCUGAGUCCUUGCCAACAAUUAGUGUUAUUAAUCUUUUCAUUUUUAGCUACUCUGGUGGUUAUAAACUUUAUUUUUACAAUGGAUAAUGCAGCUGAGCCCAUUUUCAUCUAUGCAUAUUUCUCAUUUGCUGAGGUAAGCGCUUGGCAGCCUGACACUCGUUUGACUCAGACUAAAUUUGCAGCCAAGUGAACUCUGACAGCUGAUGAUGUGUAGUCAUCUCCUGCUUACUUCAGUUGGGUUUGGGGUCCUCAGAGCGGGUUCAGGCUUCCACCAUUCUACUGUCGUCUAAUAUCCACUGAGUGCCCACUUGUCCCAGCACUGAACUAGAAUAUGAGCAAAGAAGAAGAGCAAAGUUGCUCUUAAUCCUUACAAUCAGCACAUGAUGUGACGCUGAUACCACUAUCAUUAUCUUCACUUCACAAAAGAAGGAAUUAUGGUGGGCGAGGGUAGGCAAGGUAACUUAUCUACAGUGUCACAACUCACAAGUGGUGGGAUCUAGAUUCAAAUGGUAUCCAAAGUUGCUGUAAUGUGCUGCUUCCAAAUAGGAAAACAUUGAAAGCUUAACACUGUAAACACUGGAUGUGCCUAAUCCUGUAGAGACUUGAUGCUCCAGAGAAGGGAGAUGCCCUGGGGUUGCACCCUCUUAGAGUCAAAGGGGAGGAGGAAGGGGGUGAAGAACUCUUGGAGGGAGGGACUGGAAGUGGGGGCAACAUUUGGGAUGUAAAUAAAUAAAAUAAUUAAUU